GCAAAAGAAGGGCGUAUGGGGAAUGCCUAGGCUCUCAGAGGCGACGAAGGACGUGAUAAGCUGCGAAAAUCCGCGGGGAGCUGCACAUGAGCAUUGAUCCGUGGGUGUCCGAAUGGGGCAACCCGGCUGGUUGAAGGCCAGUCACACCGCAAGGUGGGCGAACCCGCUGAACUGAAACAUCUAAGUAGGCGGAGGAAGAGAAAACAAGAGUGAUUCCGAGAGUAGCGGCGAGCGAAAUCGGACUGGCCCAAACCGUUGUUGUUUCGGCAAUGACGGGGUUGUAGGACCACAAUGUUCUUUGCGCGACGAACCGGAAGCAGUUGGAAAGCUGCACGAUAUGGGUGACAGUCCCGUACGGGCAAGGAGCGUUAAAGAUAGUGGUAUCCUGAGUAGCGCGGGGCACGUGAAACCCUGUGUGAAUCCGGCGGGACCAUCCGCCAAGGCUAAAUACUCCUGGGAGACCGAUAGUGAACCAGUACCGUGAGGGAAAGGUGAAAAGAACCGUGAAUAACGGAGUGAAAUAGAU
rnacentral:rRNA from 14 species